CAGCCGCCGCGGUAAUGCGUAGGUGGCAAGCGUUGUCCGGAAUUAUUGGGCGUAAAGCGCGCGCAGGCGGAUAGGUCAGUCUGUCUUAAAAGUUCGGGGCUUAACCCCGUGAUGGGAUGGAAACUGCUGAUCUAGAGUAUCGGAGAGGAAAGUGGAAUUCCUAGUGUAGCGGUGAAAUGCGUAGAUAUUAGGAAGAACACCAGUGGCGAAGGCGACUUUCUGGACGAAAACUGACGCUGAGGCGCGAAAGCGUGGGGAGCAAACAGGAUUAGAUACCCCGGUAGUCCCUGUCUCUUAUACA
rnacentral:rRNA from 1 species